rnacentral:miRNA from 1 species
UCCAUAUCAUUCCAAAGGGUUCACAUACUUUUUCUUGCAACUGUAAUUAGACACACUGUGUCUAAUAACAGUUGCAAGAAAAAGUAUGUGAACCCUUUGGAAUGAUAUGG